rnacentral:lncRNA from 1 species
ACAUGACGCACUCUCCGCUCGGCCUCUGAUUGGUUGACAGCCCUGUGGCCGACGUUUAAAUGUAGGAGGCCUGUGUGAGUGUGAGGACCUCUGUGUUGGAGGACCUCUGAAGAUCAGGUGGCGCUGCAGUGAUGUUGGGUCGCUUGGUAACGCUGCUUGCCCUGUCGGGUCCGACUGCAGGAUUUCCUCUGAUGCCGGUGAGGUCGUUCUCAGCCCCGCCCCAUUACACACUGCUGCUGCCGGUGGCUUAUCUUAACAUGGCUGGACCACACCCCCUAACAUGGCAGCAGCCAACCACAGCACAGGACCAGAAAGACGCACAGAAGGGCGGAGCUGAGAGUCCACAGCCGCUUACACACCCUCAGGGACAGAUCGAUCUUCUUCAACAGUUGGACCAGACUCCGCCCCCAACCUCAACCUCCCUCCUGACGGCCCCACCCUCACCCCCUGACCCCCAGGGACAGAUGCUGUUAUGGAACAACGUUCUACCAGUCCCCGCCGUUCCUGCUGUAGAUCCUGCAGUGGUGACCGGUCUGACAUUUUUUCCAACAUGGCCUGUUGUUGGACCAGCAACAAGUAGUAACACCAACACACAGAUUUACACUUUUCCAAACCAGCGAUAUCCAAUGGUUUAUUCCUUCCCACGUCAGCGACUACAUGUGGCGGCCCAGUCAGCUUCUCUGAGUUCAGAGGAGGCCGCGCCCCCUCCUGUUGUCUACAUGUUGCCAGUCAGUGAUGAGGUGUUCAGUCGUGGCCUCAGGGACGGGGGGACGCAGGACACCACCCACACAGAUCUCAGCUAUGCCCACCUGGCAGGGGCGACGCCCACCGACCCACCACAUGUCACUGCAGGGGCGGAGCCUGGAGCGCCAUUGGGAGUUCAGCAGAAGAUGGAAUCCGGUGGUGACCCCUGCGCCCUGGUGACGCCGACUGGGACAACUGGACAGAGAGGGCCGGAGUGUGUCACACACACAAAUACACACACACACGCAGGCACCAGAGGGGACUGAACCGCUACAUACACACCUUCUGAUCCAAGGCUUCUGAGAUGUUGAUAUUCUGUAUAUUGACACGAUUAUUGAUGUCACUAAAGUGAUAAAAGGACGAUGUUUGUAUGUUUUAUAAAAAUAAACGUAUUUGUCAAAUUACA